rnacentral:lncRNA from 1 species
AGCAAGGUGCUUUUAUGGUUGGCCACAAUAUCUCUGAUGAUAUUUUUAUUGCUCAGGAGUUCAUACAUGAUUUUCAGAGAGCCGCAUGUUGUAUGCAAUCUAAUGGCUAUCAAGCCCGAUAGGAGAGAGUUGUGAUCACGAGAAUUAAGACUUUUUGUAUUACCCUCUAGAGAGUUUUGAAUUUUAUGAGAUAUGGAUCAGAUGGAUGGUUAGCUGCAUACAGACUCUACCCCUUUCUAUUUUUAUA